rnacentral:rRNA from 1 species
CCUACGGGCGGCAGCAGUGAGGAAUAUUGGUCAAUGGACGAGAGUCUGAACCAGCCAAGUAGCGUGAAGGAUGACUGCCCUAUGGGUUGUAAACUUCUUUUAUAUGGGAAUAAAACAGGGUAUGCAUACCCUCUUGUAUGUACCAUAUGAAUAAGGAUCGGCUAACUCCGUGCCAGCAGCCGCGGUAAUACGGAGGAUCCGAGCGUUAUCCGGAUUUAUUGGGUUUAAAGGGAGCGUAGGUGGAUUGUUAAGUCAGUUGUAAAAGUUUGCGGCUCAACCGUAAAAUUGCAGUUGAAACUGGCAGUCUUGAGUACAGUAGAGGUGGGCGGAAUUCGUGGUGUAGCGGUGAAAUGCUUAGAUAUCACGAAGAACUCCGAUUGCGAAGGCAGCUCACUGGACUGCAACUGACACUGAUGCUCGAAAGUGUGGGUAUCAAACAGGAUUAGAUACCCUAGUAGUC